UACGUAGGCAGCGAGCGUUGUUCGGAGUUACUGGGCGUAAAGGGUGUGUAGGCGGUUCUUUAAGUUUGGUGUGAAAUCUCCCGGCUCAACCGGGAGGGUGCGCCGAAUACUGAGGGACUAGAGUGCGGGAGAGGAAAGUGGAAUUCCUGGUGUAGCGGUGAAAUGCGUAGAUAUCGUAAGGAAGACCAGUGGCGAAGGCGGGUCUCUGGACAGUUCCUGACGCUGAGGCACGAAGGUCAGGGGAGCGAAACGGGAUUAGAAACCCUGG
rnacentral:rRNA from 1 species